rnacentral:rRNA from 1 species
GUGUCAGCCGCCGCGGUAACACGUAGGAGGCGAGCGUUAUCCGGAUUCACUGGGCGUAAAGCGCGUGCAGGCGGUUUGGUAAGUUGAUCGUGAAAGCUCCCGGCUCAACUGGGAGAGGUCGGUCAAUACUACCGAACUAGAGAGUAGAAGAGGAAGAUGGAAUUCCCGGUGUAGUGGUGAAAUGCGUAGAUAUCGGGAGGAACACCAGUGGCGAAGGCGAUCUUCUGGUCUAUUUCUGACGCUCAGACGCGACAGCUAGGGUAGUAAACGGGAUUAGAGACCCCGGUAAUCCUAGCCGUAAACGAUGUGAACUUGGCGUCGGUGGCUUAAACACCAUCGGUGCCGAAGCAAACGCGAUAAGUUCACCGCCUGGGGACUACGGCCGCAAGGUUAAA